GAUGAACGCUGGCGGCGUGCCUAAUACAUGCAAGUCGAGCGAACAGACGAGGAGCUUGCUCCUUUGACGUUAGCGGCGGACGGGUGAGUAACACGUAGGUAACCUACCUAUAAGACUGGGAUAACUUCGGGAAACCGGAGCUAAUACCGGAUAAUAUUUCGAACCGCAUGGUUCGAUAGUGAAAGAUGGCUUUGCUAUCACUUAUAGAUGGAUCUGCGCUGUAUUAGCUAGUUGGUAAGGUAACGGCUUACCAAGGCAACGAUGCGUAGCCGACCUGAGAGGGUGAUCGGCCACACUGGAACUGAGACACGGUCCAGACUCCUACGGGAGGCAGCAGUAGGGAAUCUUCCGCAAUGGGCGAAAGCCUGACGGAGCAACGCCGCGCGAGUGAUGAAGGUCUUCGGAUCGUAAAACUCUGUUAUUAGGGAAGAACAAAUGUGUAAGUAACUGUGCACGUCUUGACGGUACCUAAUCAGAAAGCCACGGCUAACUACGUG
rnacentral:rRNA from 1 species